GACGAACGCUGGCGGCGUGCUUAACACAUGCAAGUCGAGCGGUAAGGCCCUUUCGGGGGUACACGAGCGGCGAACGGGUGAGUAACACGUGGGUGACCUGCCCUCAGCUCUGGGAUAAGCCCUGGGAAACCGGGUCUAAUACUGGAUAUGACUCCAUGACGCAGUGUUGUGGGGUGGAAAGCCUUGUGCGGCUGAGGAUGGGCCCGCGGCCUAUCAGCUUGUUGGUGGGGUGANGGCCUACCAAGGCGACGACGGGUAGCCGGCCUCGAGAGGGCGACCGGCCAC
rnacentral:rRNA from 1 species